rnacentral:lncRNA from 1 species
UGUAGCUGAUGUGACAAUGGUUCAAGGCAAGGCAGCCAAGGUAAGGAUAAAAGACCUUUGCCUGGUAGUAGGCCUGCAAAUGAUAGUGUUAGCUUCUUUCCUUCCUCCCUUCCUCCCUCCCUUCCUUCCUUCCUUACUUACUUCCUUCCUUCCUUCCUGUAAGAACAAAAAAUGUGGUGGAGAAGAACUGGGGCAAGGGUCUGAAAAGAGUUUGCUAAAUGACAAAGGGGAGCAGGCGAGGCGUGUAUUGGAAUGGAACAAAUGGAAGCCCGAAUGAAGCAAAGGCCAAGGCCAACAGCAAAGGCGAGGCGAAAGGAGUGGUUGUGUUGUGGCAAAAGGGACGACAGGCAGAGCCAAAGAGAGCAUUGGUGUGGUCGGGACGCUGCCCUCCCUGGUGGACCUUUUGCCCAGAGUAGGCGCAAGGGAGCUGUCCAAGGAUUCCAGUGCGAGCAUGUUUUGCGAGGAGAAGGCACACUGUGCUCUGUGUGUGUGCGUGUGUGUGUGGGGGUGUGUGUGAAAAGUGUGGUGAGGAAAGGGCGAGGAGCGGAGGGUGAAAAAAAUGUGUAGCCCAGGCUGGCCUCGAACUCGUGAUCCUCCUGCCUCUGCCUCCUUCAGCAAAUCCUACCGGCAGCGAACGGGCGCUGCUACGCCCUACUUGAACCGUACCAACGAUGACGACACAACACCCGACACGCCCCCAUACUCCUACCUGAACACUGCCCACACACCACCAG